UCUGUGAAGAGGUGUGUGUACCAACAAAGUCAAUUCGCACUUUCAACAACAACAAGCCAUGGUUCACUGCCAAACUUAAGCAGCUUCGCCAAGCUAAGGAGGACGCAUAUCAGAGCGAGGACAGGGCCGUGUAUAAUCGCGCUAGAAACCUGCUGACUAAAGAAAUUAACAUUGCAAAGAGGAACUAUGCAGCAAAGUUGGAAAAACAGUUUAGCGCUAACGACUCUAAAUCAGUCUGGCAUGCAUUCCAAUCGCUGACUAAUUACAAGCGACGAUCCCCCCAAGCUGAGAACAAUAGCACACUAGCCGACGACUUGAAUACCUUCAACUGCAGAUUUGAAAAGGACACUUUCACACCCCACACCCAUCCGGCCGCACCCCCGACUACAAUCACACCUCUGACUUCUGCAUUUACCAUCCACGAAAAGGAUGUGAGACGCAUCUUCAAACAACAAAAUAUUAACAAAGCGGCAGGCCCAGACCAUGUGUCCCCAUCCUGCCUCAAAGUCUGCGCGGACCAGCUCGUGCCAGUCUUCACUCAGAUCUUCAAUAGAUCUCUGGAACUGUGCGGAGUACCAUCUUGUUUCAAACGCUCCACCAUCAUUCCAGUCCCCAAGAAACCUGCAAUCUCGGGUCUAAAUGACUACAGGCCUGUCGCCUUGACAUCUGUGGUCAUGAAGUCCUUUGAACGCCUCAUGCUGGACCACCUCAAGAGUGUCACACGUCCCCUGCUGGACCCCCUGCAGUUAGCCUGUCAACAUGGGACUGCACUUCAUCCUUGAACACCUCGACAGUGCAGGGACCUACGCGAGGAUCCUGUUCGUGGACUUCAGCUCAGCGUUCAACACCAUCCUCCCUGAACUCCUUUCAUCCAAGCUUCUCCAGCUCAGCGUCUCACCUGCCAUCUGCCAGUGGAUUUACAGCUUCCUGACGGGCAGGACACAGCAGGUGAGGCUGGGAGAGACCACCUCAUCCACACCCAGCAUCAGCACUGGGGCGCCCCAAGGUUGUGUCCUCUCUCCGCUGCUCUUCUCUCUCUACACGAACGACUGCACCUCAGCGCACCCGGCUGUCAAACUCCUCAAGUUUCCAGAUGACACCACUGUCAUCGGCCUCAUCAAGGACGGUGACGAGUCUGCAUAUCGACAGGAAGCGGAGUGGCUGGAGCUGCGGUGCGGCCGACACAACCUGGAGCUUUACAUGCUCUAGACUGUAGAGAUGAUCGUGGACUUCAGGAGGCAUCCUUCGCCACAGCUGCCCCUCAUGUUCUCUAGCUGCCUUGUGUCAACCGUCGAGACCUUCAAGUUCCUGGAAAUUACAGUCUCUCAGGACCUGAACUGGGCAACCAACAUCAACUCCGUCCUCAAAAAGGCCCAGCAGAGGAUGUACUUCCUGCGGCUUCUGAGAAAGCACGGCCUGCCACGGGAGCUGCUGAGGCAGUUCUACACAGCGGUCAUCGAAUCAGUCCUGUGUUCUUCCAUCAGUCUGGUUUGGUGCUGCUACAAAAAACGACAAACUCCGACUGCAACGGACAAUCAAAACUGCUGAAAGGAUUGUCGGUAACCCCUACCCACCCUUGAGGACUUGCACGCUGCCAGAACUAAGACAAGAGCGUGCAAAAUCCUCUCGGACCCUCCACAUCCCGGUCACCAGCUCUUCCAGUUCCUUCCCUCAGAUGACAGGAAGUGGAGCUGUGGUGCGGCCGACACAACUUGUAGCUGAACACGCUCAAGACUGUAGAGAUGAUCGUGGACUUCAGGAGGCAAUCCUUCACCGCAGCUGCCCCUUACGCUGUCCAACUGCCAUGUGUCAACCGUCGAGACCUUCAAUUUCCUGGGAAUUACAGUCUCUCAGGACCUGAAGUGGGAGACCAACAUCAACUGCCGGAAUAAUUGUCGGUACCACCGUACCCGCCCUUGAGGACUUGCACGCUGCCAAAACUAAGACAAGAGGAUUCAAAAUCCUCUUGGACCCUCCACAUCCUGGUCAUCAGCUCUUCCAGCUCCUUCCCUCAGUUAGGGUCACGGGGCGCUGGAGCCUAUCCCAGCUGACUUCGGGCGAAAGGCGGACUCCACCCUGAACUGGUCUCCAGUCAGUCGCAGAGCAUUUAUUGACAUGGACAACCUGCAGUGGAGACUCCCGUUUCAAUAUGGCGAACAC